UACGUAGGGGGCAAGCGUUGUCCGGAUUUAUUGGGCGUAAAGAGCGUGUAGGCGGCUUUACAGGUCCGUUGUGAAAACUCGAGGCUCAACCUCGAGACGCCGGUGGAAACCGUAAGGCUAGAGUCCGGAAGAGGAGAGUGGAAUUCCUGGCGUAGCGGUGAAAUGCGCAGAUAUCAGGAAGAACACCCGUGGCGAAGGCGGCUCUCUGGGACGGUACUGACGCUGAGACGCGAAAGCGUGGGGAGCGAACAGG
rnacentral:rRNA from 1 species